AGGGGGGUGAAGUCGUAACAAGGUAGCCGUACUGGAAAGUGUGGCUGGAUCACCUCCUUUCUAAGAGAAAGAAAUUUUUUAAGGUAAAAUAUUAUUUUGAUUUUAACUCUUCCUUUGUCUUUUCAGGGACUUCUUUCGGGGGUUUAGCUCAGUUGGCAAGAGCAUCGGCUUUGCAAGCCGGGGGUCAAGGGUUCGAGUCCCUUAACCUCCAUUUGUUUGUUGUAGAAAUGAAUGGAGGUGGUAGCUUUUAAGGUGCUAUUUGCGUCAAUUGGAGUUAGGUUUAGGAGUUGGAAAAAGUCCAGUUGAGGUUUCGAUAUCCAGAUAAAACGUUUUUUUGUGUUUUUUUAGAUUUAAUAAUUUGUUAGAUAAAAUGUCACAUUUGUGUGAUAGGCGAUAUAGAUAGAUUAGAGAUAUUAUCUUCCCAUUUAUUUUUUUCAAUUAUUUUACUUAAGUUAUUUAACUUUUUAUAGUUUGUAAAAAGUAAUUUGUUCUUCGUGUAAAUUUUAAGAUGUUUAAUGUUUUUAUCUUUCUUAAGUAAAUAAGUAUGACUUAUGGUUUGAUAUUUUAGGUCAUGGUUUUAUUUUGCUUGUUUUCUUAAUGUUUCUUGUGAUAUAUUGUUUGUUACAGAUAUUGAGCUCUUGAUUAAAUUGCAGAGAAUUUAUUUCAGAUUAUUUGAUUAAGAUCAUUUAGUACUUAAAAAGACUCACUCUUGGCUAAUUGGGACCAGGAGGAGUUGAACCUCCGACCUCAGGUUUAUCAGAC
rnacentral:misc_RNA from 1 species